CCUACGGGAGGCAGCAGUGGGGGAUAUUGCACAAUGGGGGGAACCCUGAUGUAGCGACGCCGCGUGGGUGAAGAAGCGCCUCGGCGCGUAAAGCCCUGUCAGCAGGGAAGAAAAUGACGGUACCUGAAGAAGAAGCCCCGGCUAACUACGUGCCAGCAGCCGCGGGAAUACGUAGGGGGCAAGCGUUAUCCGGAUUUACUGGGGGUAAAGGGGGCGCAGACGGCGAUGCAAGCCAGGAGGGAAAGCCCGGGGCCCAACCCCGGGACUGCUCUUGGAACUGCGUGGCUGGAGUGCAGGAGGGGCAGGCGGAAUUCCUGGUGUAGCGGUGAAAUGCGUAGAUAUCAGGGGGAACACCGGUGGCGAAGGCGGCCUGCUGGACUGCAACUGACGUUGAGGCCCGAAAGCGUGGGGAGCAAACAGGAUUAGAUACCCCUGUAGUC
rnacentral:rRNA from 1 species